rnacentral:rRNA from 1 species
UACGUAGGGUGCAAGCGUUAAUCGGAAUUACUGGGCGUAAAGCGUGCGCAGGCGGUUUUGUAAGUCUGUUGUGAAAUCCCCGGGCUCAACCUGGGAAUGGCAAUGGAGACUGCAGGGCUAGAGUUUGGCAGAGGGGGUAGAAUUCCACGGUGUAGCAGUGGAAAUGCGUAGAUAUGUGGAGGAACACCGAUGGCGAAGGCAGCCCCCUGGGUCAAAACUGACGCUCAUGCACGAAAGCGUGGGGAGCAAACAGG